rnacentral:rRNA from 1 species
CCUACGGGCGGCUGCAGUGGGGAAUAUUGGACAAUGGGGGGAACCCUGAUCCAGCCAUGCCGCGUGUGUGAAGAAGGCCCUCGGGUUGUAAAGCACUUUCAGUGAGGAAGAACGCCUGGUGGUUAAUACCAACAGGGAAGAAAAUAAUUCAAGAAAGAGCACCGGCUAACCCCGUGCCCGCAGCCGCGGUAAUACGGAGGGUGCGAGCGUUAAUCGGAAUUACUGGGCGUAAAGCGCGCGUAGGUGGCUUGAUAAGCCGGUUGUGAAAGCCCCGGGCUCAACCUGGGAACGGCAUCCGGAACUGUCAAGCUAGAGUGCAGGAGAGGAAGGUAGAAUUCCCGGUGUAGCGGUGAAAUGCGUAGAGAUCGGGAGGAAUACCAGUGGCGAAGGCGGCCUUCUGGACUGACACUGACACUGAGGUGCGAAAGCGUGGGUAGCAAACAGGAUUAGAUACCCUGGUAGUC